GAUGGGGUGGGUGGGUAGGCGUCGGGAAGAGGGAAGGAACAUGUACACCGUUGUGAGAGAGCUGCAGCCUGCCGCCUGGCAGGGGAGGAGAAAGGGGCGAUGUGUGGCAAUAAACUCUCUGUCCUCCACUGAAAAUUUCCUAAAGUCUGUGCUGAAGUCCUUGCCUUGUCUAACUGAUGAUUUCAUGGUGGCCCGAAGAGGCGUCCAUUAGGGGAAAUGACCAGAAAGCGAAGUUGAAUGGAUGACAACAAUGAAAGGAACCAACCACACCGCAUAGGGCACUCUUGGAGUGACUGUCUCUAGAGGAAAACGAAAGCGUGGAGGCUUGAAGUCGGUGAUGGGGCUCCCAGAACCAGAGACCAAGGCAGCAGCUGAAUUACUCCCUUCCCAGAGCCUCUAGAGGAUUGUCCUGUCUUGCCCUUUUCUAGCUAAGGAGCUCUCUGACAUUUUCCAUCAUCCUCAAAGUUCUAAGUCUUUGUUUUCUGCCCCUCUUCCUCAUUUACGGAGCCUUGGAACUGUAUUGGGUUCACUUGAUUUAAACUGUGUACUCUCA